GCCAGAUGUCAUAUGCUUGUCUUAAAGAUUAAGCCAUGCAUGUCUAAGUAUAAAUAGCAUACAGUGAAACUGCGAAUGGCUCAUUAAAACAGUUAUAGUUUAUUUGAUAGUAUUUCUACAUGGAUAACCGUGGUAAUUCUAGGGCUAAUACAUGCGCAAAGACCUGACUUACGAAAGGUUGUAUUUAUUAGAUUUAACCAUCAAAUGGUGAAUCAUAGUAACUGAUCGGAUCGUGCGAUUGCACGAUAAAUCAUUCAAGUUUCUGCCCUAUCAGCUUUCGAUGGUAGUGUAUUGGACUACCAUGGCAGUCACGGGUAACGGAGAAUUAGGGUUCGGUUCCGGAGAGGGAGCCUGAGAAACGGCUACCACAUCUAAGGAAGGCAGCAGGCGCGUAAAUUACCCAAUCCCGAUUCGGGGAGGUAGUGACAAGAAAUAACAACUUCAGAGGUUCGCCUCUAGAAGAUUGCAAUGAGAACAAUUUAAAUCACUUAACGAGGAACAAUUGGAGGGCAAGUCUGGUGCCAGCAGCCGCGGUAAUUCCAGCUCCAAUAGCGUAUACAUAAGUUGUUGCAGUUAAAAAGCUCGUAGUUGAACUUCUGAUUGGGCACUUUCGCGGCUUCUGCCAGUUUGUUGUUCAGUCAUCCGUCUGCAACCCUUCAACGGCCUUCACUGGUACGGGAAGGUGAGUAGACAAUUUACCUUGAAAAAAUUAGAGUGUUUCAGGCAGGUUCUCGCCGGAAUACAUUAGCAUGGAAUAAUGGAAUAGGACUCUUGUCCUUUGUUGGUUUCGGGAUAGGAGUAAUGAUUAAUAGGAACAGAUGGGGGCAUUAGUAUUUAAUUGUCAGAGGUGAAAUUCUUGGAUUUAUUAAAGACUAACUAAUGCGAAAGCAUUUGCCAAGGAUGUUUUCAUUAAUCAAGAACGAAAGUUAGGGGAUCAAAGACGAUCAGAUACCGUCGUAGUCUUAACCAUAAACUAUACCGACUCGGGAUCGGAGGGGUUUAAAUUUUAGUCCCUUCGGCACCGUAUGAGAAAUCAAAGUCUUUGGGUCCUGGGGGGAGUAGUUCGCAAGGCUGAAACUUAAAGGAAUUGACGGAAGGGCACCACCAGGAGUGGAGCCUGCGGCUUAAUUUGACCCAACACGGGGAAACUUACCAGGUCAAAACAUGGAUAGGAUUGACAGAUUGAAAGCUCUUUCUUGAUUCUAUGGGUGGUGGUGCAUGGCCGUUCCUAGUUGGUGGAGUG
rnacentral:rRNA from 1 species